rnacentral:tRNA from 2 species
GCCCUGCUGGCGUAGUGGUAGCGCGUCUCACUUGUAAUGAGAAGGUCACUAGUUCAAUCCUGGUGUGGGGCA